rnacentral:rRNA from 1 species
CACGUAGGGAGCAAGCGUUGUCCGGAUUUAUUGGGCGUAAAGAGCUCGUAGGUGGUUCCGUAAGUCAGGUGUGAAACCUCCAGGCUCAACCUGGAGACGCCACCUGAUACUGCGGUGACUGGAGUCCGGUAGGGGAGCGUGGAAUUCCUGGUGUAGCGGUGAAAUGCGCAGAUAUCAGGAAGAACACCCGUGGCGAAGGCGGCUCUCUGGGACGGUACUGACGCUGAGACGCGAAAGCGUGGGGAGCGAACAGG